rnacentral:rRNA from 1 species
UCAAGCUACAAAGAGCACAAGGGGAAUGCCUUGGCAUCGGGAGCCGAAGAAGGACGCGACUAACUGCGAUAAGCUACGGGGAGCCGUAAGUAGGCAUUGAUCCGUAGAUUUCCGAAUGGAGCAAUCCGACUAGAGUCAUGUCUAGUCAUCAUAUACUGAAUAAAAUAGGUAUAUGAGGGGAACCGCCUGAACUGAAACAUCUAAGUAGGGCGAGGAAAAGAAAUCAACCGAGAUUCCGCUAGUAGUGGCGAGCGAACGCGGAAGAGGCCAAACCGAGAGUAGUAAUACUUUCGGGGUUAGGACAGAAAUGUGUACACAGAGGUUUAGCAGAAUUGUAUGGGAAGGCAAACCAAAGAGAGUGAAAGUCUCGUAUGCGAAAAACUAAAGUGGCUAUCUGAAUCCAGAGUACCGCCGGACACGAGGAAUCCGGUGGGAAGAUGGGGGGACCAUCCUCCAAGCCUAAAUACUAACCGAUGACCGAUAGAGAAGAGUACCGUGAGGGAAAGGUGAAAAGCACCCCGGGAGGGGAGUGAAAGAGAACCUGAAACCUUGUGCUUACAAGCACCGAGAGCCCGUCAAAGGGUGAUCGGGUACCUAUUGUAGAAUGGUCCGGCGAGUGAAUGUUACUGGCGAGGUUAAGCACCUAAGGUGUGGAGCCAAAGCGAAAGCAAGUCUGAAUAGGGCGAUUUUAAGUCAGUAGUAUUCGACCCGAAACCGGGUGACCUACCCAUGUCCAGGUUGAAGUGGAGGUAAAACUCCAUGGAGGACCGAACCGACUCCCGUUGAAAUGGUAGCGGAUGAGGUGUGGGUAGCGGAGAAAUUCCAAUCGAACCCGGAGAUAGCUGGUUCUCUCCGAAAUAGCUUUAGGGCUAGCCUCGGAAUAGAUUACUGGAGGUAAAGCACUGAAUGGGCUAGGGGCCGAGAGGUUACUGAACCCUAUCAAACUAAGAAUGCCAGAUAAUUGUUUUCCGGGAGUCAGACGGCGUGAGAUAAGUUUCGUCGUCAAAAGGGAAAGAGCCCAGACCCACAGCUAAGGUCCCAAAGUAUAGUUAAGUGGAAAAGGAUGUGGGGUUGCCCAGACAACCAGGAUGUUGGCUUAGAAGCAGCCACUCAUUAAAAGAGUGCGUAAUAGCUCACUGGUCGAGUGACCCUGCGCCGAAAAUUCAACGGGGCUAAAUUAUACACCGAAGCUUGGGAUACCGCAAGGUAUGGUAGGAGAGCGUUCUGUAAGGAGUGAAGUGAGAGCGAAAGCGUUCGUGGACUUUACAGAAGUGAGAAUGCCGGAAUGAGUAGCGAGAAAUAUGUGAGAAUCAUAUUGGCCGAAAGUCUAAGGUUUUUGGAGGAAGGUUCGUCCGCUCCAAGUAAGUCGGGAGCUAAGGUGAGGCCUAACGGCGUAGCCGAUGCACAUACGGUAGAUAUUCCGUAACCACCGAAAGAUUUAAACACAGGGACACCUUGAAAGGGCAUAUCCCGGGAGUUGGUUUACCCGGGCGUAAGGGAUCGAAAUUUGAGUAGAGAAGUAUGUUUGGACGAGGGCGAGAAAAGCUGUGUGUAUAUUUUAGGUGCCCGUACCGCAAACCGACACAGGUGGACAGGAAGAGGAUUCUAAGGCCAACGGGAGAAGGGUAAUUAAGGAACUCGGCAAAUUGACCCCGUAACUUAGGGAUAAGGGGUGCUCAUAGAAAUAUGAGCCGCAGAGAAUAGGCCCAGGCAACUGUUUAUCAAAAACACAGGUCUCUGCCAAAUCGAAAGAUGAAGUAUAGGGGCUGACACCUGCCCGGUGCUGGAAGGUUAAGAGGAGGAGUGAGAGCUCCGAAUUGAAGCCCCAGUAAACGGCGGCCGUAACUAUAACGGUCCUAAGGUAGCGAAAUUCCUUGUCGGGUAAGUUCCGACCCGCACGAAUGGUGUAAUGAUCUGGGCACUGUCUCAAUUACCCGCCCGGCGAAAUUGUAGUACCGGUGAAGAUGCCGGUUACCCGCGACAAGACGGAAAGACCCCAUGGAGCUUUAC